GGUUCCUUAGGAAACUAAAUAAUCACAAACCAGGUGUAAUUUUUCAGUUAUAGUACCGAUUUUAAUGGUACUACAUACAGUCUCUACUGUAAAAACUAUGUUACAAAUUGAUUUAAACUACGGGAUAAAGAAACACACUACAGAAGAUGAACUAGUAGAUGAGAAGGGACAGUAGUACACAGCCACACUCCAAACAGACUGGGGCAGGAGUGAGGGAAGGAAAUGGAGGGAUAAGCGGAGCUUUGAAAUUCAAACUGCGAUAUCACACACACUACACGAGAUGGAGCAGCAGUAAGAACAGCAGCAAUAAGUCGUAAAUCACAUGGCAGAACAAGAUGGUGUGUGGUCAGUAAACUGGAACUGCAUUGUGUGAACCAAAGAGAUAGAGAAAGCAAUCUCUUUGGUAUGAAUAAACCACAUUUGCAGCGAUCUGCUGCACCCACAGACAUUAGCACAGAUAUUUGUGCAGAUGGAUCGUAGCCUGUGGAUGGACUUUAACCUAAAACAAUGUCAGGAAGCAUAGCCAUAGAACUGCCGCCAUGGACCACAAGAAAACUAUCUGGAUAAAAAAAGAAAAAGGAGAUGAGCUAUGGGGUCACUCAGCAGGCUGGAAGGAUGUGCUGCUACUGCAAAAGCAGGCAAUAACAAUUAUUACAUCGAGCAGCAGCCAGUAACACUGCAGACCAUUAUUCAGAACAUAUAGCCACUAUGUAUUAUUAUGCCUCAUCCACAUAAGGGAAAACCUAGACACCUACACCAAGAGGCAUGACACCCAUAAACAUAAUACCUGCACCAGGGAAGACGUAAAUCUACCAACCUGCCGACUGUCCAAAACAAGAGACAGUUUUCCGGUGGUCGCUGUGAGGAUGUUCAACAAACUACCUGUUGAAUUGCAGACCCUGCCCCUGGGCAACUUCAAGAAACAAAUUGCUGAAGGCCUAAAACAAUGCCCACUGUACUUGGUCCAAGAAUUCUUUGACUGUGGAGAAAGUGAAUGGACAUAUUGAACAUGACAUAGUCUGUACAUAUUACCUGUAUAAAGUUUAGAUGUUAUUCUCUAAUUCAUUAUAUUGUAAAUCACUUGAUUAUAGCUUUGACACAGUCUGUCCAGCUAUGGCUGGUGAACGAUG